AAUGAACGUUGGCGGCGUGGAUUAGGCAUGCAAGUCGAGCGAGAAUCGUAGCAAUACGAGGACAGCGGCGCAAGGGACAGUAAUGUGUAGAUUAUCUGCCCUCAGGUCCGGGAUAGCUGCGGGAAACUGCAGGUAAUACCGGAUAACAUCUCCGGAUCAAAGGUGUGAUUCCGCCUGAGGAUGAGUCUGCAUCCUAUUAGCUAGUUGGCAGGGUAACGGCCUACCAAGGCAUUGAUGGGUAGCGGGUGUGAGAGCACGACCCGCGUCAUUGGGACUGAGACACUGCCCAGACACCUACGGGUGGCAG
rnacentral:rRNA from 1 species